rnacentral:lncRNA from 1 species
CUCCCACACACAUCUCCGUGACCGUGUGGCCACUGCCUCCUAAGGGUCUUAUCUUUUCUAAUCCAUAUCACGGACUGGAGACUGGCUCCCACACACAUCUCGGUGACCGCGUGGCCUCUGCCUGAUAAGGGUCUUAUCUUUUCUAAUUCAUACCACGGACUGGAGACUGGCUCUUACACACAUCUCGGUGACCGCGUGGCCUCUGCCUGAUAAGGGUCUUAUCUUUUCUAAUUCAUACCACGGACUGGAGACUGGCUCCCACACACAUCUCCGUGACCGUGUGGCCUCUGCCUGAUAAGGGUCUUAUCUUUUCUAAUCCAUACCACGGACUGGAGAUCGGCUCCCACACACAUCUCCAUGACCGCGUGGCCUCUGCCUGAUAAGGGUCUUAUUUUUUCUAAUCCAUACUACGGACUGGAGAUCGGCUCCCACACACAUCUCCGUGACCGUGUGGCCACUGCCUCCUAAGGGUCUUAUCUUUUCUAAUCCAUACCACUGACUGGAGAUUGGCUCCCACACACAUCUCCGUGACCGCGUGGCCACUGCCUCCUAAGGGUCUUAUCUUUUCUAAUCCGUAUCACGGACUGGAGACUGGCUCCCACACACAUCUCCGUGACCGCGUGGCCACUGCCUCCUAAGGGUCUUAUCUUUUCUAAUCCAUAUCACGGACUGGAGACUGGCUCCCACACACAUCUCCGUGACCGCGUGGCCACUGCCUCCUAAGGGUCUUAUCUUUUCUAAUCCACACCACUGACUGGAGAUCGGCUCCCACACACAUCUCCGUGACCGCGUGGCCACUGCCUCCUAAGGGUCUUAUCUUUUCUAAUCCAUAUCACGGACUGGAGAUCGGCUCCCACACACAUCUCCGUGACCGCGUGGCCACUGCCUCCUAAGGGUCUUAUUUUAUCCAGACUCCUGUACCUCUAUAAUCCACUAGACUUUUACAAAAUACAAGUGAGAUCAUGCCCCCCGCACUUAAAAUCUUUCACUGUCCACAAAAUAAAAAAUAAAUUAUUUAGCAAGGCAUAUAAAACCUGACCCGAUCUACCUAUGCAGCCCUGUCUCCCUCUGCUGCCUCCAAACUCCAUGAGACUCCCUCUUCCUUCUUUCCCCCAUUACUGUCACGUUGGUAAGAUCCCACCCAUUCUUUUAAGAUUCAGAUUAAAACAGAAUUUGUCUAUGACCCCUGCCCUCAGCCCCUGCUUCAGCCUAUCAAUUCCUCUUCUGAGAUCCUGCUAUGCCUUGUACAGCAUAUACCAGUUUUGUUACAUCUGUUAUACUGGAAUCUUCUAUUAAUGUCUUUCUUCUCCAUACAAAAAUGGUGAACUCUUUGAAGGCAGAGAGUGUGUAUUUCUUAUCUUUGUGCCUUCAGUCCCCAGCAC